GACGAACGCUGGCGGCGUGCUUAACACAUGCAAGUCGAACGGUGAAGCGCCUUCCUUUUUGGUGGGUGUGGAUGAGUGGCGAACGGGUGAGUAACACGUGAGUAACCUGCCCCCUUCUUCUGGAUAACCGCAUGAAAGUGUGGCUAAUACGGGAUAUUCUGGGUCUGUCGCAUGAUGGGUCUGGGAAAGAUAUUGUUUCGGUGGGGGAUGGGCUCGCGGCCUAUCAGCUUGUUGGUGGGGUGAUGGCCUACCAAGGCGGUGACGGGUAGCCGGCCUGAGAGGGUGGACGGUCACACUGGGACUGAGCCACGGACCAGACUCCUACGGGAGGCAGCAGUGGGGAAUAUUGCACAAUGGGCGCAAGCCUGAUGCAGCGACGCCGCGUGAGGGAUGGAGGCCUUCGGGUUGUGAACCUCUUUCGCCAGUGAAGCAGGCCUGCCUCGUUUGUGGGUGGGUUGACGGUAGCUGGAUAAGAAGCGCCGGCUAACUACGUG
rnacentral:rRNA from 1 species